GAGGUUACUCAUCCCAAUAUCAAGAGGUGCGGGGUUCAGAUGAUGUACACCCGUGAUUCUCUAAACAGCAGUGUGCCUAUGUUGUUGGAUCAUCAAAGAGGCCAUGAUGAUGCCGGGAAAAACCAAGCAGAUGAUCGGGAACCAUGCCGUAAAAGAUUGAGAGCAUCCAGCACUGAUCUCAAGCUUUAAGCUCCAUUGCCAGGUGCUUGGUACAAGAACUAAAGAAUCAAUGUUGACUUAGCGGCACGAUGGCUGGAGCACCUUGCUGCCCUUCUACCACCAUGAGAACCACUGCACUGCCAUUCUUGAAGCCAAAUUUGCCACCAUU